rnacentral:rRNA from 1 species
CCUACGGGGGGCUGCAGUGGGGAAUAUUGGGCAAUGGGCGCAAGCCUGACCCAGCAACGCCGCGUGAAGGAAGAAGGCUUUCGGGUUGUAAACUUCUUUUCUCAGGGACGAAGAAAGUGACGGUACCUGAGGAAUAAGCCACGGCUAACUACGUGCCAGCAGCCGCGGUAAUACGUAGGGGGCAAGCGUUGUUCGGAAUGACUGGGCGUAAAGGGUGUGUAGGCGGUGUAGCAAGUUAGAAGUGAAAUACCUAGAGCUUAACUCAGGUGCUGCUUCUAAAACUGCUAUACUUGAGUGCAGUAGAGGAAAGUGGAAUUCCUAGUGUAGCGGUGGAAUGCGUAGAUAUUAGGAGGAACAUCAGUGGCGAAGGCGACUUUCUGGACUGUAACUGACGCUGAGGCACGAAAGUGUGGGGAGCAAACAGGAUUAGAUACCCCUGUAGUC